rnacentral:rRNA from 1 species
UACGUAGGGUGCGAGCGUUAAUCGGAAUUACUGGGCGUAAAGCGUGCGCAGGCGGUUUUUUAAGUCAGAUGUGAAAUCCCCGGGCUUAACCUGGGAAUGGCAUUUGGGACUGCAAGGCUGGAGUGUGGCAGAGGAGACUGGAAUUCCUGGUGUAGCAGUGAAAUGCGUAGAUAUCAGGAGGAAUACCGAUGGCGAAGGCAGGUCUCUGGGCUGACACUGACGCUCAUGCACGAAAGCGUGGGGAGCAAACAGG